CGUUCACUGUGUUUCUCAUCUAAAUUAUAUGCAUGAUAUACCUCUAGUCAGAAGCCGUCAGCUGUUGUGUCAAGUGAACGUUCUUAACCAACAAAAUAAGUAAAACUUAUCAAUACUGUGUGACCGUAAUAGUGAAUCUAUUAUUAGUUACUGAAGAUGUUGUAAGUUUGAAAGUAUUGGUUAACAGAAACCAGAUCGAGUUAGUUUAUUCUUGUGAAUGGAAGAAUGGAACAGUAAUGAUCUGUAAUACUGCUCAGAAUGUUCAAAGAAAAUGAUAGCAGAUCCGGAGGCUGUAGCGGCGCAGCUCCUCGACCACGAAGAAUGCUGGCACGAUUUUCUUUACGUCGAUUAUUAUAUUCGAGUCCACUUAUCGGUCGACGAAUUGUAAGAACAGC